rnacentral:rRNA from 1 species
UACGGAGGGUCCGAGCGUUAAUCGGAAUGACUGGGCGUAAAGCGCGCGUAGGUGGUUACUUAAGUUGGAUGUGAAAGCCCUGGGCUCAACCUGGGAACUGCAUCCAAAACUGGGUGACUAGAGUACAGUAGAGGGGGGUAGAAUUUCAGGUGUAGCGGUGAAAUGCGUAGAGAUCUGAAGGAAUACCAGUGGCGAAGGCGGCCCCCCUGGACUGAUACUGACACUGAGGUGCGAAAGCGUGGGUAGCGAA